GGGCGAGUGGCGGAACUGGCAGACGCCCGGGACUUAAAAUCCCGUGGUCCUUGCGGACCGUGUGGGUUCGACUCCCACCUCGCCCA
rnacentral:tRNA from 1 species